AUUUAAGAAAGUUCUAAUAUCUUGUAGUGGUCAAGAUCCCCACCCCUAAACCAUAUAUAUUCUGGUUUGUCAUGCUAAGAUGGUUUAAAUGAUAUACAGGGUUAGUCCCCAGGGGUCAUCCUGACCCCCUGCCAUUUGAGAAAGUUCUAAUAUCUUGUAAAUGGUCGAGAUCCCCACCCAUAAACCAUAUAUAUUCUGGUUUGUCAUGAUAAAGCACAUCAAAUGUAAUACAGGGUAAGUCCCCAGGGGUCACCCCCACCCCAUGCCAUUUAAGAAAGUUCUAAUAUCUUUGUAAGUGGUCAAGAUCCCCACCCCUAAACCAUAUAUAUUCUGGUUUGUCAUGCUAAGAUGGUUUGAAUGAUAUACAGGGUUAGUCCCCAGGGGUCAUCCCGACCCCCUGCCAUUUGAGAAAGUUCUAAUAUCUUGUAAAUGGUCGAGAUCCCUACCCCUAAACCAUAUAUAUUCUGGUUUGUCAUAAUAAAGAACAUCAAAUGUAAUACAGGGUUAGUCCCCAGGGGUCAUCCCGACACCCUGCCAUUUGAGAAAGUUCUCAUAUCUUGUAAAUGGUCGAGAUCCCCACCCCUAAACCAUAUAUAUUCUGGUUAGUCAUGCUAAGAUGGUUUAAAUGAUAUACAGGGUUAGUCCGCAGGGGUCACCCCCACCCCAUGCCAUUUAAGAAAGUUCUAAUAUCUUGUAAGUGGUCAAGAUCCCCACCCCUAAACCAUAUAUAUUCUGGUUAGUCAUGCUAAGAUGGUUUAAAUGAUAUACAGGGUUAGUCCGCAGGGGUCACCCCUACCCCAUGCCAUUUAAGAAAGUUCUAAUAUCUUGUAAAUGGUCGAGAUCCCCACCCAUAAACCAUAUAUAUUCUGGUUUGUCAUCAUAAAGCACAUCAAAUGAAAUACAGGGUUAGUCCCAAGGGGUCAACCC